rnacentral:rRNA from 1 species
UACGGGGGGGGCAAGCGUUGUUCGGAAUUACUGGGCGUAAAGGGCUCGUAGGCGGCCAUCUGAGUCGGACGUGAAAUCCCUCGGCUUAACCGGGGAACUGCGUCCGAUACUGGAGGGCUUGAGUGUGGGAGAGGGAUGUGGAAUUCCAGGUGUAGCGGUGAAAUGCGUAGAUAUCGCUUGGAACGCCGAAGGUGAAAACAGGUUGCUGGGGAUGUGCCGACGCUGAGACACGAAAGCCAGGGGAGCAAACGGG